GAAAUGUUGAAAUAAUAUAAUCUAAAACAGUAAAAAUGGAAACAUGACUACAAUUACGCAGUUAUCAAAAUUAUUAAAAAGAGACGAUAUUUUAAAAGAUUAGCCAUUUGUUGGGAUUUGUUUAUCGAUAGACGGAUCAAGUCUUUGUCAAUAUCUUGAUCAUUGAUCUAUCACUUGUUGCCUCUUUAAACAGGUGUAAUCAAUAGGUCUUAUCAAUUUUAAUUUUAGCCUUAACAUGUGAGUUUGUAUAAACGUUUUUUUUUAUUCCCCUUUAAAUCUUGAAUCGGUUUUCAUUUCUUGUCACCAACAUUGAUCUUUUCCCUGAAGGGCCUUUUAAGGUUAUCACAAACAUCAGUGAAUUCCGGAUUCGAAUGGAUUGAACCAACCAAUGCUAACUUUUAUAUUUUAAAAUGUGAUAAAAAGAUGAAAAGUGAACGGAAUUUGACUCUUUUCUUGUUUUUCAGGUCACCUCAUUAUUUGUAUCAACAUCUUCUAUGUUGACAGAAAACAUAGUUUUUUAAACCUCAUACUUAUCAUGCUUGCCUAUUUCCUCCAGGCAAUUUAGACAAAUCAAGAUUAUCUUCAAGAGACAAACCCAUGGAAGUAGACCCUGUCUACCAAAAAAGUAACUGGAUUAAUCCGGUUGAUUAAGCUUUCAUUAAAACAGUAAACCAGAGAAAGAGAUAGAAAGGCCUAGAUGAAUCUAAAAUUACGCCAACUUUACAUGGUUACGUGAUCUGUCUCACCUGUUUUUACUGCUAAACGUUUUUACUGUUAUUACAUCGUGUAACCACUUUUUCAAGCUCAAGCAAUGGGAUCUCGUGGAAACAGCAAAGAGCAACAGUUAACUUUACUCAGACUAAUCAAUCUUCAUUUGAUCAUUACCUGAAGUUUUAGUUAAUAUCAUCAUCAUCAUCGACAACAGCCAUCAAUAUCAAUUAGCCGACAAAUUGGCCAAAAAUCAAGUUGCAAGUUUUCUUCUUUUUCCUAAUUUGUCCAUCUCAUGUGGCAACGAUAUUUCUAGGAUUGCUGGCAAAUACUUGCACUCACAGAUAUACCAAUACAAAUCAAUGUAAAAUUAAUUGAGAAUGCUGAUGAAGAUGGAAACUCAGAUUGCCCUGGGAGCCUUGAAUCACCUUGAAAGAAUAUUUUCUGCUGGGAAAUUGAAUUAACUUGAUGAUUUGUGAUCGUCAUAAUCAUGCUUUUGCUGAAGAAAGAAAAUUAUUCUCUCCUUUCAACAUGUGGAGAUGAAUUUGUGAAGAAGCUAAGGGAACAAGCUAAUAGGACGAAAGAGCGCUAACACCAAAGAGUCAUAUUUUCUUUGAUGAUUAUAACUCGAAAACGUCAUUCUUAGGUUUCAAUCAUUUCAAGGUUAACCUGGGUUAACCUGGGAAUUGCCAGUUUAAUAUAUGAUCAUCAUUUAUCAAACAUUAAACGGUUAAAAUUUCCCUUUAAUUCAAUCUAAUAAAGGAAAUUCGACAUAUAAAGAAGACGGCCGAUAAUACACAAGAAAGGGGUUAAAACAUGCAAAAGGAAUUCCCAGCCUUUCUGGAAAAGUUCCCUGGAAAGCUAUCAAAUGAACAAUCAUAUGUACUGUUUAAAUUCAUUGAUCCAUGUUACUUGUCUACUGGAAAAGGACUGAUUAUUUCCUAAGUAGAGGAAAACAUGGAAAGAUUGGAAAAAAUCUGGAAUAACCCGAUAAUAGGAAAAGAUAUCUCCAAGGUUCGGAGGUUAUCAUGGUGAUUGUAAUAAUAGUGAUGAUGAUAGUUGGUAACAAAAUAUAACAGUCAAGUCAAACAACAAUUAACAAUGGCAAUUAACCGACACACACACACACAUUUAAUGUAAUAAAGCAAAAAGGUGAAACACAGAUAGGGAAGAUAAAGUGGUUUUUAAGAUGAUCAUCAUGCAGAAGCAAGUAAAGAUGUGACUAAUUGAUGGAAACAUUGAUACAACAAUUAACUAAGUUGUUGGUAUUUUCCCCAAACAUUGUUAACCAAAUGAUCACCAACAAGAAACUACAAACAAUCAACUUCAAUAAUCGUCAUCAUCUUGCAUCUACGGUGAAUAAUUGUUAUUAAAAAUCAAGCUUUCCAAGGGAUCAUUACCUUAUUGAGUAUUGCAAUAAACACAAAAACAAAGGUGUUUGUUUGUUAAUAUCAUCGAUUGCUAUGGUCAUACUGCAAGAUCUACCCAUAAUUAGAAUUACAAUUUAAUUGUAAUCAAAUUACCUUUAAGCUAAAAGGUAACUUAAUCAAUGACCAAAAUAACAAAAAAUAUGCGCCUUCAAUGUUUCGUAUUUACUCUGAAUGUUACAUGAUGAAUUGCUUUAUCCAUUUGAAAUGUAAUCUUUUUUUACCUUUUCAUUUGUUUCUUCAGUGAUUAACAUUUAAUUGUUAAUAUCCAGUUAUUUUAUCCUUGAUUAUGUGAUUUUUUAUGCUUUUUAACAAACAAACCUUUCACUGAUUUGAAAGCGUCAAAAACCCCUUAACGGAUUAAUCAAUUAACUGUUUUAAAUAAAUUAAUCUUUUCCAUUUUUUAAAGUGUCAAA